UGGGGAAUUUUGGACAAUGGGCGCAAGCCUGAUCCAGCCAUGCCGCGUGCAGGAUGAAGGCCCUCGGGUUGUAAACUGCUUUUGUACGGAACGAAAAGCCUCUUUCUAAUAAAGAGGGGUGAUGACGGUACCGUAAGAAUAAGCACCGGCUAACUACGUGCCAGCAGCCGCGGUAAUACGUAGGGUGCGAGCGUUAAUCGGAAUUACUGGGCGUAAAGCGUGCGCAGGCGGUCUUGCAAGACAGUGGUGAAAUCCACGGGCUCAACCUGGGAACUGCCAUUGUGACUGCAAGGCUGGAGUACGGCAGAGGGGGAUGGAAUUCCGCGUGUGGCAGUGAAAUGCGUAGAUAUGCGGAGGAACACCGAUGGCGAAGGCAGUCCCCUGGGCCUGUACUGACGCUCAUGCACGAAAGCGUGGGGAGCAAACA
rnacentral:rRNA from 1 species